rnacentral:rRNA from 1 species
GUAAGUGACGAGACUGAAUGUAUUUACUCUUAGCAGAUCUUAGAAGCUAAACAGUCACAAGCCUAAUUCAUACUUUGGAUGGGGGACCACUGGGUGUUGCAUGUG